rnacentral:rRNA from 1 species
UACGUAGGGUGCAAGCGUUGUCCGGAAUUAUUGGGCGUAAAGAGCUCGUAGGCGGUCUGUCGCGUCUGCUGUGAAAACUCAGGGCUUAACCCUGAGCUUGCAGUGGGUACGGGCAGACUAGGGUGCGGUAGGGGAGACUGGAAUUCCUGGUGUAGCGGCGAAAUGCGCAGAUAUCAGGAGGAACACCGGUGGCGAAGGCGGGUCUCUGGGCCGUAACUGACGCUGAGGAGCGAAAGCAUGGGGAGCGAACAGG